UACGUAGGGUGCGAGCGUUGUCCGGAAUUAUUGGGCGUAAAGAGCUUGUAGGCGGUUUGUCGCGUCUGCCGUGAAAAUUCGAGGCUCAACCUCGAACUUGCGGUGGGUACGGGCAGACUAGAGUGUGGUAGGGGAGACUGGAAUUCCUGGUGUAGCGGUGAAAUGCGCAGAUAUCAGGAGGAACACCGAUGGCGAAGGCAGGUCUCUGGGCCGAUACUGACACUGAGGAGCGAAAGCGUGGGGAGCGAACAGG
rnacentral:rRNA from 1 species